UACGUAGGGUGCAAGCGUUAAUCGGAAUUACUGGGCGUAAAGCGUGCGCAGGCGGUUAUGUAAGACAGGUGUGAAAUCCCCGGGCUUAACCUGGGAACUGCAUUUGUGACUGCAUAGCUAGAGUACGGUAGAGGGGGAUGGAAUUCCGCGUGUAGCAGUGAAAUGCGUAGAUAUGCGGAGGAACACCGAUGGCGAAGGCAAUCCCCUGGACCUGUACUGACGCUCAUGCACGAAAGGCGUGGGGGGCAAACAGG
rnacentral:rRNA from 1 species